rnacentral:lncRNA from 10 species
CCUGAAAGCCUGGCAGGCCACCCUACUUCAGCUGCAUUCGGUCCAUACACUGAGGGUCUCAGUGGGGAAAAAGCAGAGUCAUUUUAAAGAAACAUGGAUCUUAGUUUCUAGAAGGUUUUUCCCCAUCUGGCAGACAAAUUUAUGCCUAUUCCACACACAGUUCUGGAGGCUGGGAGGUUCAAGAUCAAGAUGCAGGCAGAUUCAUCUCCUGGCCCUCGUGUGUGAUGUUCUCCUCCCUGUAUCCCAGCGGAUUAAGAUGCUCAUUUCUUAAAAUUCAGGGGAAAGAUGGACACUACCGGUUCCGUGGCCCAGGGUUUUGGAAGAGGCGGCCUCCGGAUGACUGGAUGCACUUCUCCCUGGGACUCACCCUGUGUCGUUACAGCUCGAGCUUACUGAAAAUAACAGACAGACACCUCCACUUGUCCCCUCCAACAGAGUGGCUGCACUGGCAGCUCUCUAAUGAGUUCUAACCCCAUAGGGGCAGUUAUGAAACUGAUGCAAAAAGGAUACAAUCAAGAUAGAAGUCAAUAAGGAGCACAGAAGGCAUGAGUAAGACUUGCAUCAGAGAGGCCAAAACCCAAAAUGCGCUGGGGGUUGUGGGAGCGGCUGAAGAGCCUGGAGAAGCCGCUUAUAGUCAUUUUAAGUCAGAUUAAAGGAGUGUGUUUGGCUGACGAGAGGACCCCAUGCUUGCAUGUAUGGAGCCUUAUCUCAGCUUCCAUACCUACAAAGGGGACAUGAUUGGUGUCUACCCCAGAGAGUGGUUUUAAGAAUUAAACAAAAUGACGUGUGUGAAA